CAGAAACGCGUAUGGAGAGAUGACUGUUCAGAUUCUGUUUGGCUGGUGCUCGUCUUGCCAUUUGCUUGUCAGAUAUUUUGAAACUUUGUAGUUUCCUCUGAGCCACCUCCCUGCAGAUUGAACUAAGAUACAUUGACCAUAGUUGCAAUGGAUAUGAGAAUAGGCUGCUUGACCAUCACCUGGACCUGGAAGUGGAUAAAUCCCCUUUCACAUCAUGGUUACUGUGUAACUGCUACAUGCUUACUACAGAAAGAACUUUUGUUACUUCAAAUGAAAA
rnacentral:lncRNA from 1 species